rnacentral:rRNA from 1 species
GACGAACGCUGGCGGCGUGCUUAACACAUGCAAGUCGAACGGGGCUAGUCAACCGUUUAAUUAAUUAAACAACAGGCUAGCCAAGUGGCGGACGGGUGAGUAACGCGUGGGCAAUCUGCCCAUAAGACCGGGACAACAUCAGGAAACUGAUGCUAAUACCGGAUACAGUCAUGAACAGGCAUCUGUACAUGAUAAAAAAGCAGCCUCUCGACGAAGCAGCUGCUUAUGGAUGAGCCCGCGUUCCAUUAGCCAGUUGGUGAGGUAACGGCUCACCAAAGCGACGAUGGAUAGCCGGUCUGAGAGGGCGAUCGGCCACACUGGGACUGAGACACGGCCCAGACUCCUACGGGAGGCAGCAGUGGGGAAUAUUGCGCAAUGGGGGGAACCCUGACGCAGCGACGCCGCGUGAGCGAAGAAGGCUUUCGAGUUGUAAAGCUCUGCAGUAAGGGAAGAACGCAGUAUAUACGAAGAUUAUAUGCAGCUGACAGUACCUUAAUAACAGCCCCGGCUAACUACGUGCCAGCAGCCCGCGGUAACACGUAGGGGGCGAGCGUUGUCCGGAAUCACUGGGCGUAAAGGGCGUGUAGGUGGCUGCGAAAGUCAAGGUGUGAAAAGCCU